rnacentral:rRNA from 1 species
CCCUAUGAAGCUUUACUGUAUCCUGGAAUUGAGUUUGGGUUUAUUUUGCGCAGUAUAGGUGGGAGGCUAUGAAAUUAUAUUUGAGGAUAUAAAAGAGCCAUCAGUGAGAUACCACUCUAAUUAAACUAGAAUUCUAAUCUUGAAGCCGUUAUCCGGCCAAGAAACAGUUUCAGGUGGGCAGUUUGACUGGGGCGGUCGCCUCCUAAAAGGUAACGGAGGCGUGCAAAGGUUUUCUCAGGCUGGUCGGAAAUCAGUCGUAGAGUAUAAAGGCAUAAGAAAGCUUGACUGCAAGACCUACAAGUCGAGCAGAGACGAAAGUCGGCCUUAGUGAUCCGACAGUGCUGAGUGGAAAGGCUGUCGCUCAACGGAUAAAAGUUACUCUAGGG